GGGGAACUUAUUUUCUAGUUAGGAAACAGAAAAUAAGUAGGGAAAAAUAUAAGCCCACAAGAAAUGCCAAGGAGGAAAAGGUAAGGCGGCUACAGGGUGUGGUGAAAUGGGCAGAGUUACCGGAGUUUUAGAUAUGGCUUACAGGGUAGGCACUCCUGAUGAGACAGUUUAGGGAUGGAGACCUGGAGGAUGGCAGGAGAUGACCCAGGUGGUCAUUGUGUGUUUAUAAUCACAGGCGGCAACAGCAACUUAAAAAACCCUAGGGCAAAUGAUGCUUGGCAUGUGGACAAAUGUUGUAGGCUACUGUGUGAGAUCAUCAGGAAUGAGGAUAAGGAAGAAAAGCUUCGUAGACUGUGACCUUGCAGGCUGGAGUGAAGAUGCUGACUUUGGAGCUGAGUAAACUGGGUAGCAACUAUAAGCCCGAGGAGGCAGAGGCACAAGCUCAUGGAGACUGAAUUAAAAUGGAGAGGCACAAGCUCAUGGAGACUGCUACUAUGCAGAGCAGACUUUCCCUGCAGUAUAAAUAAUAAAAACCCAGAGAUGGAUAUUGGGGUUCAAGCUGAAGAUCAGAGAAGCAAAGCAGCCAAGCUACCAGAGAGCUCUCACCUCUGCCAAGGCUGGGGCAAUCCUGUUCUCAACGUGGCUGGAGACUAAUUUCCUAAGACUGAAUGUCAGUUCGGCGACUCUACUCCUGUUUUAUAUAUCUCUCUAGUGCUGGGAUUAAAGGCAUGAGCUCUGUUUCUCUUUUAGACUGAUUCAAUAUCAUGUAGCCCUGGGUGACUUUGAACUCACAGAGAUCCAUCUGCCUCUGUCUCUUGAGUCCUGGGAUUAAAAGUUUGUGCCACCACUGCCUGGCCUCUAUGGCUGUGAAUAGCUUUGUAUUCUGAUCUCCAAGCAAGCUUUAUUAGAUCAUAAACAAAAUAUCAUAACAUUUCCCUCCUCUUCUUUUUAAACUCCAGUAUGUCACCUUGACAUCUCUUUAUGUUCUAUUCUUCUGGUGAUUAGUUUUUCCUAAGCUAUACAUAUGCUCACAUCUUUUUCAUUUUUAAAUUUAAACUCAAAUAGUCAGUGUUAUGUCUGACUAUGUGUCUUUCAAAAUGUAAUGUUGAAGUUCUAUUUCCC
rnacentral:lncRNA from 1 species